rnacentral:snoRNA from 12 species
AAUGAUGGCUUGUUAUCCCUGUCUGAGGCUAACCUCCUGAUUAGACGAUUUGGCAGAGC